GGGGAUGUGGCGAAAUUGGUAUCGCGUCCGCUUAGCAUGCGGAAGGUACUGGGAUCGAAGCCCAGCAUCUCCA
rfam:Vitrella brassicaformis CCMP3155 genome assembly, contig: scaffold435